UGAGGAAUAUUGGUCAAUGGGCGAGAGCCUGAACCAGCCAAGUAGCGUGCAGGAUGACGGCCCUAUGGGUUGUAAACUGCUUUUAUGUGGGGAUAAAGUGCGUGACGUGUCAUGCAUUGCAGGUACCACAUGAAUAAGGACCGGCUAAUUCCGUGCCAGCAGCCGCGGUAAUACGGAAGGUCCGGGCGUUAUCCGGAUUUAUUGGGUUUAAAGGGAGUGUAGGCGGCCUGUUAAGCGUGUUGUGAAAUGUAGAUGCUCAACAUCUGAACUGCAGCGCGAACUGGCUGGCUUGAGUACACGCAACGUGGGCGGAAUUCAUGGUGUAGCGGUGAAAUGCUUAGAUAUCAUGAGGAACUCCUAUUGCGAAGGCAGCUCACGGGAGUGUCACUGACGCUUAAGCUCGAAGGUGCGGGUAUCAAACAGG
rnacentral:rRNA from 1 species